AUAGUACUCCCUCCGUCCGAAAAUACUUGUCAUCAAAAUGGAUAAAAAUGGAUACAUCUAGAACUAAAAUACAUAAAGAUGCAUUCCCUUUUAUUCAUUUUGGUGACAAGUAUUUCCGGACGGAGGGAGUAUGAG
rfam:Triticum aestivum genome assembly, contig: Triticum_aestivum_CS42_TGACv1_scaffold_129445_2BL